UACCCUUGACAUGGAAGGAAUCCUCCAGAGAUGGAGGAGUGCUCGAAAGAGAACCUUCGCACAGGUGCUGCAUGGCUGUCGUCAGCUCGUGUCGUGAGAUGUUGGGUUAAGUCCCGCAACGAGCGCAACCCUUGUCAUUAGUUGCUACGAAAGGGCACUCUAAUGAGACUGCCGGUGACAAACCGGAGGAAGGUGGGGAUGACGUCAAGUCCUCAUGGCCCUUAUGGGUAGGG
rnacentral:rRNA from 1 species